rnacentral:lncRNA from 1 species
AGGUCGUGCCCCAGGUCCCGCCCCUCCAGGCCCCGCGCCCCAGGUCGCGCCCCUGGCCCCCCCCUCCAGGCCCCGCGCCCCAGGUCGUGCCCCAGGCCCCUCUCCUCCGGGCCCCGCGCCGGGUCCCACGCCCCAGGUCGUGCCCCAGGUCCCGCCCCUCCGGGCCCCGCGCCCCAGGUCGCGCCCCUCCGCGGGGACCCCGAGCUCGCCCCGGGUACGGAGGCCGCGGUCCCGGCGUGCGGGCGCCCUCGAGGCCCCAAGGGCCGCGCCGUCGCCACCAGCACGGGCUGCGGUCCCUGCGCCGCCAGGGUCCCGACGGGGCUCCCGGAGCACGGGCUCGGCCGCCUGGCGCCCCGCGCCCCGCCCCCGCCCCCCCCCCCCGCCGGCACCACCCCGAGGCCUCCGGCUGCCGCGGCCCGAGGGACCUGGGGCCUGGGGCCUCCCCGCAGACCCGCGCCCUCCCGCCCGGCCCGGGAAGGAGCCGAAGGGAGCGCGCAAGGGGGGCGUGGCGCCCGGGCCGCCCCGGGGCAGCGCUGGGAACCCCGGCCGCCCCCGCCCGCGCCCCCGCCCCCGCCCCGUCGAGGGCCAGCGCCGUCCGCCCCGGCCCCGCGCCCCUCCCCUCCCCCCUCCCCCCUCCCCCUCCGCGUCUCGGCGCCCAGGCCCCGACCAGUCCCCGCCCUCCGGGACGCGCUCGCUCCCUCCCUCCCUCCCUCCCUCCUUCCUUCCUCCCUCCCCUCCGCUCCCCUCCCUCCCGCUCCCUUCCCAGCGCCCGGAGCCCGGCCGCCCCCGCCCCGCCCCGCCCCGCCCGCCUGCGCCCCGCGCCCCCCGCGCCCCGCGCCCCCGCCCCCCGCGCCCCCUCACUCGCCUGCCGCUGCGCCGCCGCCGGGGACUCGGGCUCCGCGGGCUCCGGGACGGGCCGACCUGUCCUCCGCCUCCUCCUCCGGCUCCUCCGGGCGCCGGCUCCGCCUCGCUGCCUCGCUCGCUCGCUCGGGGAGGCGGGGCGCACGGCUCGACGGGCGGGGCGGCGGCGGCGCCCCCCGGCCUCCCUCCCGGCCUCCCUCCCGGACGCCCUGCCCCGCCCUCCUCCGCCCUCGCCCCGCGCCUCUCCCCCGUCCUCCCCUCCCUCCCUCCCUCCCUCUCCCCUCCCGCCCCUCCCCUCCCCUCUCUCCCUCCCCUCCCUCCCUCCCCUCCCCCUAACUCCUCCCCUUCUCCCCCGUCCCCUCCCUCCUCCUCCCCCUUACCCCUCCCCUUCUCCCCCCUCCUCCUCCCUCCGUCCCCCACUCCCCUCUCCCCUCCCUCUUUCCCGUCCCCUUCCCUCCCCUCCUCCUCCCUCUCCCUCCCCCCUCCUCCUUUCCCCUGUCUCCCUGUCCCCUCCCUCCUCCUCCCUCCCUCCUCCCCCUCCUCCCUCCCUCCCUCUCCCCCUCCCCUUCCCUCCCUCUCUCACUCCCUCUUCCUCUCCCCCUCCCCUACCCCUCUCCCGCCCUUCCCCCCCCGCCCGCCCCCUCCCCCCCACCCCUCCCUCCCCCUCCCCCCCCCCCCCCCCCCACGCCCGGACCCCCGCCCCGAGGCCCGUGCAGACUCCGCGCUCACCCGCCGGCCUCGCCUCGGCCCUCGCGGGCUGCCAGCCCCCCCAGGAGCUGGGCCUGGCUCCAGGAAUGUCUUAAGAAAACAGUCACAGUCCGAUUUAAAGGGCCCUGGGGCCACGGGGACGUUUCGUUUCCCAGAAAACGGUGCUGGAUCCGCGAACCGCGAUUGCGGACCUGGAAGCGCGAGCCCCGCGGCUCCUCCGUCCGUCCGUCUGUCCCGGACCCUGGGCUCCCGCCGGCCGCGAACUCUGGGUUCGGCGGGGAUCGGCCCAGGGGCGGGAGAAGCCACCCGUGUGGACCGAGGCCAGACCGUCGGGCCGGCAGGUGCUGGGCCCCGAGCUGGCGCUGAGCUGGUGCAGACGCAGGGAGAGGACACAGGAGAAGGUGAGGCCCGAGUGGGUCACUUGGAACCGGUGUGGGCAGAGUGUGGUGCAUCGGUGAGGGACGUCUGCGUGUGGACCAGAAGGGAGGCCCAGGGCAGCCGCGGCCCGGGGCUGCAGGAGGGGACGGUGUGCGGCUGGACGCCCUGGCCCGGGCUGUGGGCCCAGCAGCCUGACUGCUCCUCAGAACCCUCAGCCGCUGGACUUGCUGCACGCACCCUGGCCCCCAGCCACCGACACCGGCCACCGAGCACACGGAGCUACAGAGUGGGUUCCUGGCCGCCUGGCAACCCCAGGGUGGCCCCUGCCGCCUCCAAAGCUCCCCGUGAGGUCGGGCCAAACUCCGUGCCCUCCCCUGUGGGACUUUGCCUGCUAUCGCAUUCUUGCCGCGCCUCCCGCUCCCCUUCCAGUGCUCCUUCCUAGGAACACGGUCUAAUCAGACCAGCUAUGUGAUUGGCAGGGCCCCACGCAAGGUAAAGAAGAGUGUUCGUGGCUUAUAGGAACUUCAAAGUGGCAACAGCAGGUGUUAGACCGAGUCCGGGGUCCUGUGUUUCUGCACAGAUGUGCUUGACUCUGCGGAUGGCGCAUCGGCGGAGCUGGUCUGGAUGCUAAUAAAAUGCUUUUCACCUGAGUCCUCACCUAGGUCUGCUUCUGGGGACUCCCCCGCUAAGAUAACAGCUGUCAAAGUAAAACAUCCGCCGUCGGGUACUAGCACAGUCAUCUUACAGGUACUCUAGUCGGCCUCCCGGGGCUUGGGAGGGGGCGGCUCCAGGAAAGGCGGCUGUAACCAGAGCUCCAGCCAGCACAGGAGGGAAAGCAGGUGAGGGUGGCUUAGGUUAGUAGGAUGACGGGGCAGGAAGUCUGGGUUUAGCCCCAUUCGGAGCCAUAAGCACAGUGUUAAUCUGGGUGGGAUUUCAGAUGGAGUUACCUAGAAACACCUUACUUGAAGUUUAAUUGGCAAGUGGUUAAAAGGUUACACCUCACUUGUAAGGAAGUGGGGUUGGCAGGCCUGGGCAGAGGGAGAAGCUCCUCUCAGUGUGGUCACAGCUGGGCCUGGAGUGGGUGGCUCUUCAGAACUAAGCAGAUGCAGCUCACGACGCCCGGGGGGCUCAGCGGGGCAGCCUCCGCCUUCAGCCCAAGGCAUGACCCUGGGGUCCCAGGAUCCGGAUCGAGUCCUGCAUCGGGCUCCCCGCAGGGAGCCUGCUUCUCCCUCUGCCUGUCUCUGCCUCUCUCUCUCUCUCUCUCUCUCUCUCUCUGUGUGUCUCAGGAAUAAAUAAAUAAUAAUCUUAAAAAAAAAAAAAACUAGAUUGAGUCCCCUUCGUAGUCUUCUCUACACCCUGCACCUGGAGAAAGGUGUAGCCAUAGGCAAAGCAGUUCCCUGAGGGCGACGCCCCGGAGGACACGGCUGGGAACGGUCAGGCACGGAUGCGUCAGCGCUGAGCAGAGGAUCUAGGAGACACCGCACGAGAUCUCUCUCGGCAGAUGAUCCCUGAGAUCUCACUCGUUCUUACAGUUGGUCACGACAGGAAAACACAGCCCAGGAGGGCUGGCCCCUGGGUCUUCUGUGUAGCACCUGGACAAUAUUUUAUUGCAUUUAACCCUUCUCAUACUAUAAGGUUAUUUAAUUUCCUAUUUUUUUCCUUCAGGCUUUUAAUUUUUAGUUUUUAAAAAGAUUUAUUUAUUUAUUAUUAUUAUUUAUUUAUUAUUUUACAAAGAGAGAGUGCAGGGGGGAGAGACAGAGGGAGAUGGAGAGAGAAACUCAUGCUGAGUGCAGAGACUGUCCACCUCCGGAGCCUGAGAAAUCAAGAGUCGGUGGCUUCACCGACCGACUGAGCCAGCCAGGCGCUCCUCCUUCCACUCUUUUUUCCUCCCUUUUCUAUGUGUUCUGGCCCAAUUAUUUCCUAGCCCUCCAAUGGCACUGGAGACAAAUAAAUCCAAAUAAAUAAAGCAAUUGCCCAAGAGUAGCAGUGUAGUGAGGUACACAUGAUGGGAUGGAGCCUCUGGGAUCAAGUCCUGAGUUUGCCACUGACAAACUGUGAAUUUGGGGCUCUUAACCCUACUGGGCAUUUACUUGUCUUUAAAAUAGAUUAUAAGAGGGUGGUCUCUAAUGUCCCCAUUUUUUUAAAUAUUUUAUUUAUUUAUUCAUGAGAGAGGCAGAGACACAGGCAGAGGGAGAAGCAGGGGAGCCCGAUGUGGGACUCGAUCCCGGGACCCCGGGGUCACAACCUGGGCCGAAGGCAGAUGCUCCGCCACUGAGCCACCCGGGCAUCCCCUAAUGUCCCACUUUUAAAAGAGAUGGUUUUCUCAUGGGGCACCUGAGUGGCACAGUCCACUGUUAACUCAGUCUUGGUUUCCCUGAGGGUCAAGAUCUCAGGGUCCUGGGGUCCAGCGGCCUUGAGCUCCUGCUCAGUGCACAGUCUGCUUGUCCUUCUCCCUCCUCUAGUCCCCCUCCCCCAGAUACACACCUGUUGGCACUGGGUGAACUUUCUCCCUCAAACAAAUAAAACGUUUAAAAAAAAGGUUUUCUCUGCUAUAUAAUCCCUCAUGAAUCAAACAAGAGAACUUCUUAAAACUCAGAACUGAUUUUUAGAGUUAGUUGCAGUUCAUAUGUGAGGUGCUACCCAGCAAGAACACCCUAAGUCCCGCAGCCGUCAGAAAGAGUUGGGUGAAACGGGAUUCUAAUAGAUGGGGCCGAUGGGGGCGGUGAGGUCCCCGCAGACUUGGGAACGAUUCUUCCGGAAUAUCAGACUUGCUUCCUAAGGAUUUUGCCCGUCCUGUUGCGCGCGGCCACACUCUGCCUGAACCUGCCCCAAAAGUCUCGGAGAGCUCCCUCCUUUUGGAUAGGCUGCCUGGGUAAGUGCCUCACAAACUGGUUUUUCU